CCUACGGGUGGCUGCAGUGAGGAAUAUUGGUCAAUGGGCGCGAGCCUGAACCAGCCAAGUAGCGUGAAGGAUGACUGCCCUACGGGUUGUAAACUUCUUUUAUAAAGGAAUAAAGUGAGGCACGUGUGCCUUUUUGUAUUUACUUUAUCAAUAAGGAUCGGCUAACUCCGUGCCAGCAGCCGCGGUAAUACGGGGGAUCCGAGCCUUGCCCGGAUUUGUUGGGUUUAAAGGGAACGUAGCUGGGUUGUUAAGUUAGUUGUGAAAGUUUGGGGCUCAACCGGAAAAUUGCAAUUGAUACUGGCAGUCUUGAGUACAGUAGAGGGAGGCAGAAUUCGUGGUGUAGCGGUGAAAUGCUUAGAGAUCACGAAGAAUUCCGAUGGCGAAGGCAGCUUACUAAACUGCCACUGACAUUGAUGCGCGAAAGUGUGGGUAUCAAACAGGAUUAGAUACCCGUGUAGUC
rnacentral:rRNA from 1 species